rnacentral:rRNA from 1 species
AUUGAACGCUGGCGGCAGGCCUAACACAUGCAAGUCGAGCGAGCGGCGGACGGGUGAGUAAUGUCUGGGAAACUGCCUGAUGGAGGGGGAUAACUACUGGAAACGGUAGCUAAUACCGCAUACCAUCAGAAGUGCCCAGAUGGGAUUAGCUAGUAGGUGGGGUAACGGCUCACCUAGGCAACGAUCCCUAGCUGGUCUGAGAGGAUGACCAGCCACACUGGAACUGAGACAGGGUGCAGAGUCCUCCGGGCAGCAGCAUUGGGGACUAUUGGACAAUGGGCGCAAGCCUGAUGCAGCCAUGCCAGGUGUGUGAAGAAGGCCUUCGGGUUGUAGAGCACUGUCAGCGGGGAGGCGUUACCCGCAGAAGAAGCACCGGCUAACUCCGUGCCAGCAGCCGGGGGAAUAC